rnacentral:rRNA from 1 species
ACUCCUACGGGAGGCAGCAGUGGGGAAUAUUGCACAAUGGGCGCAAGCCUGAUGCAGCCAUGCCGCGUGUGUGAAGAAGGCCUUCGGGUUGUAAAGCACUUUCAGUCGUGAGGAAGGUAGUGUAGUUAAUAGCUGCAUUAUUUGACGUUAGCGACAGAAGAAGCACCGGCUAACUCCGUGCCAGCAGCCGCGGUAAUACGGAGGGGUGCGAGCGUUAAUCGGAAUUACUGGGCGUAAAGCGCAUGCAGGUGGUUUGUUAAGUCAGAUGUGAAAGCCCGGGGCUCAACCUCGGAAUAGCAUUUGAAACUGGCAGACUAGAGUACUGUAGAGGGGGUAGAAUUUCAGGUGUAGCGGUGAAAUGCGUAGAGAUCUGAAGGAAUACCGGUGGCGAAGGCGGCCCCCUGGACAGAUACUGACACUCAGAUGCGAAAGCGUGGGGAGCAAACGAGGAUUAGAUACCCUGGUAGGAUAGCG